AACAAUGACAAACAUAUUUUACUGUCCAUUUCAAGUCUGGAAAAUGAAAUUUUAAUUGUGAAUAAUAUUUAAAUUAAUAAUCUUAUUUGAAUAAUUAGUACCAACUCGGAGGUUUCUUUCACUCAUAAUUCCACCCUCUCAUCAUCCCAAUUAUUAUCCAAUCAUCAUUCUCAUCAAUAUUCUGAUGUUGACCAUAAUUUUGUUGCCAUAUAAUGUUUCAUCUGAAAGGGAAGGGCGACAAAAUGACAGCCUUUUUUGUUCCUCAAAUCAUCAUUAUCAUCAUUUAACUUAAUUGUCGGAUUGAUUGCUGAGAAACAAAUGGUUAUUAUUAAAGAUCAGAUAGUUGAAGGUUCAACAUUUUUGGUCUAUUGAUUGGAAUCAGUAUUUUCAACUGGCUGAAGAGUCAAAGUUAAAGCAUUCAAGUUUAAUGAUGAAAAUGGACAGAAACCAAAAUAUUAGGUAAAAUGGCCUGUAAUUUAAAUUACAACCAACGAUAAUUUUGUUAAUGUUACCUAAAUGACAAAAAAGCAACCAAACCGAAAUUCCAAUUAGUCAAAUCAUCAUUUUAAAUCACCAUCUGGACAGUCACAAUUAUGAUAACGAUUAUUGAUAAUAUUCACCAAAUCUCAUCCUAUUGAAAGAUUUGUGAUCAAUUGUUGGCAAUGAAACAAAUUUACCAAAUUCUGGAAUUUAAUGAUGAUCAAUUGAGGUUGUAAUCAUCUUAUCCUUUCGUAUUGAUUGAAAUACACUAAGCAAUUUGACCGUCUAAAGAUACACAAGCUAAUUUGAUUUGUUCUUGAUUGAUUAAUGAACAUUAGAGAUUAACUCGUCAUCCAUCAAUUGAUUGAACCUGAUGAUAUUGAUUGAGCCAGAAAAUAAAGUUAACCACAAGUUAAAACAAGAGUUAAUUGUGAUUAACAGAAAGGUGUUGAUAAUAGGUUAAAUUGAAAAGUGAGAAGUCAAUUGAUUGCCGUAAGCAUAAACGUGACAAACCAAUUUGUAUUGAGCAUCAUUUUAAUAGCCAUCCAAAUUAAAAAUUAACCCAACGAAAACAGUUAAUUGUAACAAUCUAAAUAGAUUAGAUGGAGUAGGUUGAGACAAAUACAGAUAAACACAAUUAAGACGCCAGCCUUGAGGACAAUUUAAUUUGCCUGCAGCGUUUUACACACCACAUAAUCACCAUCUCAUUCAUGAGUCUUUAUUAUUUUUCAUCGUCUUGUUAUCAUCACCAGCAUCAUCCUUUUGAUCAUUCACCAGCAUCAGCACCAUCAUAAUAAGCAUUUUGAGCGUAAAUUUAAUGUAACCUUCCAGCUAUUUGACAGCAAUGACAAUCAAUAAUCAAUAAACAAGUCGUCAAAGUGUUUCAGCCUGUAUCGGGUUGAUGACAGAAUUGGUUUCCCAUCCAGACCGUCAAACAUAUCAUAAUUCAAUUCCAAUUGGAUUAGUGUUUACAUUUUCAAUUGCUAACAUGCAAUUUGGUGAUUGAAAACAAUCAAAAAUGUAUCAAGUCAAAUCAAUAAUAAAAACAUGUAAAGAUGUUAACACAUUUAUCUACCAUUGAGGCUGUAAUGGUCAUUUAGAAUAUCACUUUUUGCUGAUUAAAUGUUGCAAUUUAGCGCUCCAUUUAUUGUGUAAAUACAGAUGUAACAUGAAACUUAUACAUUAAUAAAUCAAAUAUUUUCAAAAUUGUAAAUUAAUUUGUCCAAAUUAAAUUAAAAAUGAAGUGUAAAAAAGCUAUUCACAUUUUUAGAUUCAUUGAAACAAAAAAAAACGCCAUUAUGUAGGCAUAGAAACAAAGGGAACGUUAACUUAUUACAACGGGUAGGUUGCUUUGUGAAUAUUUUGUUUGUGUUGAUUGUUAAUAUCAUUAUUAUUACCAUUACUAUUAUUGCUAUUAUUAUCAUUAUUUUACUGAUUGUUAAUGAUGAAAAUGAAGUCUGAUUGAUUCUUAAAGAUGCCAAUCAAGGAUGAAAACCAAUUGAUCGACAAGUUACAAAUGAUUGACCAAAGAUGAACCAGAAAAAAGGCAAAACAAGUCAUUGUUGAGUGGAAACAUGAAAAAUAAUGAUGAAAAUGAGAAGGAUAAAGAUGAAGACGAUGAAGGAAACAACAAAACAUUCAUUGAUUAUGGGUUGUCUAUCAAUGAUACCAUAAACACUGUUACCAGUAAAAGGUAUCAUCAUCCAGCAAGAAAAAAAACUAAUCAGUCUAAUUGUUUUUUUACUCGAAAGGAACCACAUUUUUGCCCAAAAUAACAAUGAUUAUCUUGUUCAUUAAUUGCUCCCUGUUAAUCAUCAUAAUCAUGGUAAUAAUGAUAAUCACAAUCAUUGGCUGGAAUCAUCAUCUAUCUUAACCAACAUCAAACAUUUCGCCCGUAAAGAAAAACCUCAUUUUGUUGUCAUUUUAUUUUCACUUUUCAACUUACAAGCAUUAAAUGUGAACAAUUAUCAAUCUACUUACGAUCACAACUAAAUUGGCAAUCAAAUUACAGACACAAUUAGAUGUUAUUAUCUGUAACUAAAAUUAAAAUCAUUUCAAACCAAUUUGCAGGAAAAACAAAUCAUAAUUUGUACAAUUUUUCACCGUACAAAACAGGAUUUAAUCAAAUACUUAAACUGUUUCAACCUAUUUGUUUCAGGAUAAUUUAAUAUAAUCACAUGAAGCUAUUUAUAAUCAUUAAAAGUUAAAUUUCUGUGUAA